rnacentral:rRNA from 1 species
UGGGCAACCUGCCCCUCUCUCUGGGAUAACCCCGGGAAACCGGAGCUAAUACCGGAUACUCCGGCUGGAUCGCAUGGUCCGGCCGGGAAAGGUCCGCCGGAGAGGGAUGGGCCCGCGGCCUAUCA